UGUAGCCACACUGUGAGCAUCUGAGC
rnacentral:piRNA from 1 species